GGCCCGUUCGUCUAGUGGCCUAGGACGCCGCCCUCUCACGGCGGAAACAGGGGUUCGACUCCCCUACGGGCUG
rnacentral:tRNA from 1 species